UAAAGAUUUGGAAUUUGGUAUCUUGGAGCCCCAAAACUGUGUAAACUUGCUUAGAGACCCGUGUCUUGUGUGUUGCAGACAAAAAAAAUUUAGAAAGUAUCUAAACACCUAUUUAAAAUGUAAAAUUUAGAGGCAAACGUUCUAGGACGUAAAGAUUUGAGAUCCUAAGUCUCGCGAAAAAAAUCCUGAUCAAGAUUAAUGAAGCUUCGAAUUCCUUUUUUUUAAAAAAAAACUGUGUUCGCCA
rnacentral:lncRNA from 1 species